CAAUUUUUGUGACAGUCAAACUCUGACUGUCCUUGUUGUCUUGUGUCAGAGCUGUUCUCCAGGGUGACUCUGACAGCCUCUCCAGGAGCCACAGUGAAGGAGGGAGAGGCUCUUAACCUGACCUGUGAGGCAGCAGUGAACAAACCCCCCCGCCCUGAACUCCACUACACCAUUGUGAGAGACGGGGAGCCUGUGACUAACAGCACUGACUCUGCACUGUACAGCAUAGCCAGCACUGAGAAGAGCCACACUGGGAGCUACACGUGUGCUGUGGAGUCACAGGGAGUGAAGAAGAGCAGCCAGGAGCUACACAUUGAAGUGCAAACGUCCUGGCACAGCGCUGUUGCUAUUGGCUACAGAGUGAGCUUCACUCUGAUUCAUUUCAUUGUGUUCACUCUGCUGCUCCUUCAAUACUGCAGGAUCCAAGGUUCCCUGUGUAUUGCUGGCGGUACAUCACGGUAAGUCAGUAUUGACCAGUAUGUGUACAGACAGGGGGGCAGCACUCGCUAUCUCUACCUGUCAUCAUCCUUUACAGCACUGAAAAUGGAGAUGGAAACUUUCUGAUUCACUCUUUAAGAAUCCCUCUUGCAAACUCACAUUCACUUUGACCUGUGUCCUGAAAUGCUGUAUUGGGUUAAUUUGGCUUUUUUGGUUUCCAGAUGAUAAAGAUUCAUAAUCAUUAUUCUUUGAUUCAAGUUCAAUCCAGGGUAUUUAAAAAAAUAACCCUUUCAUCAGUAAUGUCACAAAGCUGCUGCCUCCACAGAGUGUCUUUACAGUUGAUACACAGCUGCUCCUUACCCUGAAAUGCACUCUGUGAUUUCAAUGGGACUUGAUUACUCUGAAGCCUAGAAGUGUCAUCAUCCUUUAAAGCUUCUGUUAUUGCUGCAGUUAAACUCUGAGCCCUCCUUGUGUGUCUCUGACAUCUGUCUCAGGAAAACCUCAGAUCAGGAUCAGGAGCAGUCAGCAGAGAGGAUUGAGCUCUGCAGCCGUGUGCAGCACACUGGAGUGGAACUGCAAUAGUAUUGCACUGUCGUACUGAAGAUCAGCCUGAAUGCAUUGUCUUAGAACUGCUGUGAAUAUCUGUUCAAACUGCGGCUGUAGUUUACAGAAAAUAACCAUUGACUGGGGUAUUUUCUAAGACCUCAAAACAAAUGGAUUAUUCAUUGAUUGUUUGAUUUAAUUCAUUUAUUUAAUAGAUUGCUUGAUUGCACAGUUUAACUUUGAGUGCAUUACUGAACAAUGUAUGUAUUCAUAAGCUAUCCUUUAGUCAAUAAACUGCUUU